UACAGAGACUGCAAGCGUUAUUCGGAUUCACUGGGCGUAAAGGGUGCGCAGGUGGCCGUGUGUGUGAGGUGUGAAAUCCCGGAGCUUAACUCCGGAACUGCGCCUCAAACUACAUGGCUAGAGCAUUGGAGAGGGAAGUGGAAUUCACGGUGUAGCAGUGAAAUGCGUAGAUAUCUGGAGGAACACCGGUGGCGAAGGCGACAUCCUGGACCGGUAUUGACGCUGAGGCGCGAAAGCCAGGGGAGCAAACGGG
rnacentral:rRNA from 1 species